AGUGUAGAUCUAGAGUUUGAUCCUGGCUCAGACGAACGCUGGCGGCGUGCCUAAUACAUGCAAGUCGAGCGAGUCUGCCUUGAAGAUCGGAGUGCUUGCACUCUGUGAAACAAGAUACAGGCUAGCGGCGGACGGGUGAGUAACACGUGGGUAACCUGCCCAAGAGAUCGGGAUAACACCUGGAAACAGAUGCUAAUACCGGAUAACAACAGAUGAUGCCUAUCAACUGUUUAAAAGAUGGUUCUGCUAUCACUCUUGGAUGGACCUGCGGUGCAUUAGCUAGUUGGUAGGGUAACGGCCUACCAAGGCGAUGAUGCAUAGCCGAGUUGAGAGACUGAUCGGCCACAUUGGGACUGAGACACGGCCCAA
rnacentral:rRNA from 1 species